CUGGUCUAACACACUCCCCACAUGUGGGUGCCCCACGGGCUUCCUCGGGUAUCUGAGGUCAUCGCGUGACCCUGGGUCUCCAGAGAUUGGUCGGGGCUGGGACUGGCGAAGAUUGCCGAAAGGCGGCGGGGAGGAGGAGGAGGAUGUCUUCGCUAGAGUGAGCAAGCAGAUCUCGCGGAAGCAAAUCUCGCGAGAGCUCUCAAAUCCGCAACCGCCAAAGAAAGGUUACUUUUCCCGGAAAUAACGUCAAUGGGAACCGCCCCGGAUCCUGGGAAUAUUUGUUCUCAGAGGAUCUCACUUUAAUGCUUAGAGACGCACUGAGUUGCUGAGGCUGGCCUUGAACUUGCAAUCCUUCUGCCUCAGGCCCCCCAGUUCCUGGAAUUACAAGCAUGUGCCACCAUGCCCAACUUCUGGAUGGACUUUUUUUUAAAGAAAAAUUUAAUAAAACUAUGCUGUUGUAUAUAUACA
rnacentral:lncRNA from 1 species